AUGGAGGAGAGGCAGAUGAUACUCAUAAUGCUCAUCACAGUUUCAGGUGGAUUUGCUAAUAGAAUUGGACCAAGUGAAGGAGAUACUAAUAUAAUCAGAGAAGAAGGAGAGUCUGUGACACUGAGCUGCACAUUUGAAACUAACAGCAAUGAUAUUUGGCUUUACUGGUACAGACAAUAUCCAAACACAGAACCAGAAUAUAUACUGUAUAAAGGUGCUCGAUCACAGAGCAGGCAGAAAGAUAUACCAGAUGUGUUUCAAUCAACUACAACCCAGACAUCCACUGAACUCACUAUUAAGAGUGUAAGUCUGAAGGAUUCAGCUCUCUAUUACUGUGCUCUAAGAGUAGUCGCCCAGGGAUACAAAAUGCCUGAGAGGCUUUACAAAAACUCACAUGAAAUUAAUGCUUUAAAAAGAAUUUAA